CUCUGUGCUGAAAAAGGGCUCAGGGCAAAAAGGAG
rnacentral:ncRNA from 1 species